rnacentral:rRNA from 1 species
UACGUAGGGGGCAAGCGUUGUCCGGAAUCAUUGGGCGUAAAGCGCGUGUAGGCGGCUCAAUAAGUCUGCUGUGAAAGUUCAGGGCUCAACCCUGAAAUGCCGGUGGAAACUGUCGGGCUAGAGUCCGGAAGAGGCGAGUGGAAUUCCUGGUGUAGCGGUGAAAUGCGCAGAUAUCAGGAGGAACACCAAUGGCGAAGGCAGCUCGCUGGGACGGUACUGACGCUGAGACGCGAAAGCGUGGGGAGCAAACAGG